rnacentral:rRNA from 1 species
AAUUUUGCGCAAUGGACGAAAGUCUGACGCAGCAACGCCGCGUGAGCGAUGAAGGGUUUCGGAUUGUAAAGCUCUGUUGAGUGGGAAGAAAACUCUCCGGGAUAAUACCCCGGAGACUUGACGGUACCACUCGAGGAAGCCCCGGCUAAAUACGUGCCAGCAGCCGCGGUAAUACGUAUGGGGCAAGCGUUGUUCGGAAUCACUGGGCGUAAAGGGAGUGUAGGCGGAAAGGUAAGUUAGAAGUGUAAUCCACGGGCUUAACCCGUGACUCGCUUUUAAUACUGCUUUUCUUGAGUAUGGGAGAGGGAGAUGGAAUUCCAGGUGUGCCGGUGGAAUGCGUAGAUAUCUGGAAGAACACCAGUAGCGAAGGCGGUCUCCUGGCCCAAUACUGACGCUGAGGCUCGAAAGCGUGGGGAGCGAACAGGAUUAGAUACCCUGGUAGUCCACGCCGUAAACGAUGGACACUAGAUGUUGGCCUCUUCGGGGGUCGGUGUCGUAGCUAACGCGUUAAGUGUCCCGCCUGGGAAGUACGCUCGCAAGAGUGAAACUCAAAGGAAUUGACGGGGGCCCGCACAAGCGGUGGAGCAUGUGCUUUAAUUCGAUGCAACGCGAAGAACCUUACCUGGACUUGACAUGGGGGUGAAAGUUUUCAGAGAUGAAAACCCUUCCUUCGGGAACGCCCUACACAGGUGCUGCAUGGUUGUCGUCAGCUCGUGUCGUGAGAUGUUGGGUUAAGUCCCGCAACGAGCGCAACCCUUGUCCUUAGUUGCCAGCGGGUCAUGCCGGGAACUCUAGGGAGACUGCCUGGUACAACCAGGAGGAAGGUGGGGAUGACGUCAAAUCAUCAUGGCCCUUACGUCCAGGGCUAGACACGUGCUACAAUGGCCGGUACAGAGGGCUGCAAGACUGCGAAGUCAAGCCAAUCCCUAAAAACCGGUCUCAGUUCGGAUUGGAGUCUGCAAUUCGACUCCAUGAAGGUGGAAUCGCUAGUAAUCGCGGAUCAGCAUGCCGCGGUGAUACGUUCCCGGGCCUUGUACACACCGCCCGUCAAGCCACGAAAGAUGGCAGUGCCCGAAGUCGCUACUCUAACCCUCACGGGAGGAGAGCGCCGAAGGUAAGGCUGUUGAUUGGGG